CUCACAAAGUGGCUGUUAUGUGUCUUAAGCAAUAAUCAUAUCACAGCCAGCUUUGAUGAGCG
rnacentral:pre_miRNA from 1 species